rnacentral:misc_RNA from 1 species
GGAUGUGAAUGCUUUGAAUGCAGAGAAGAAUACACCACUGCAUUGGGCAUGUCUGAAUGGCCAUAUUGAGGUGGUGAAGAAGUUGAUCUUGGCAGGAGCUAAUUUGAGCGUAUUGAACAGCCAUGAGAGAACUCCCAUGGAUGAAGCUCUGACUCGUGGGAAAAUGGACGUCAUCGACGCAAUCAACACGGCGGUGGCGCAGGUCGAGCUCACUGGAAUCAGUGUUUCAACUGUGGAAACAACAUAGUUGAGGGAAAUCAAA